GAAAUGCGAUAAGUAAUGUGAAUUGCAGAAUUCAGUGAAUCAUCGAAUCUUUGAACGCACAUUGCGCCCGCCAGUAUUCUGGCGGGCAUGCCUGUUCGAGCGUCAUUUCAACCAUCAAGCCCCCGGGCUUGUGUUGGGGACCUGCGGCUGCCGCGGGCCCCGAAAACCAGUGGCGGGCUCGCUGUCACACCGGGCGUAGUAGAUUUUUCGUCUCGCCCAGGGCGUGCUGCGGGUUCCGGCCGUUAAAAAGCCUCUCUUUUAACCCAAGGUUGACCUCGGAUCAGGUAGGAAGACCCGCUGAACUUAAGC
rnacentral:misc_RNA from 1 species